UGGGAAGAGGAGUGGCGGAACGAGGAUAAGCGCGGGUAACCUACCCAUCCAGGGGGAUCCGCUUGGAAUGCGUGCUAAUACCUCAAACCAGUUUAUGCAUUAUGAAAAGUGAGUGAUAGGCGCUUUCGGGUGUCGCUGAUGGAUGGACCCGCGGUGCAUUAGCUAGUUGGUGAGGUAACGGCGUACCCAAGGCCACCAUGCCUAGCCGACCUGAGAGGGUGAUCGGCCUCACUGGGACUGAGACCCCGCCCAGACUCCUACGCGAGGCAACAUUAGGGAAUCUCCGGCAAUCGAUCGAAAGUCUAACCGAGCAACGCCGCGUGAGUGAAGAAGCUUUUCGGAUCGUAAAACUCUGUUGUUAGACAAAUACAUGGCACGGUAGAUAAUGAGACGUGACCUGACUGGUGUACUAACACGAAAGCCCACGCGAGGAUACGCGCCAGCCUGGCCACGGUAUACGUAAGGGGGCAGCGUGUCUGUAAUUAUGGGCGGUAAAGCCAGCGGCUGCUGGUUUUCUUAAGUUUGAUGUUGAAAGCCCCCCGCUCCACCCGGGGAGGGGUCAUUGGAAACUGGAGGACUUGAGUGCAGAAGAGGAGAGUUGAAUUCCAUGUGUAGCGGUGGAAAUGCGUAGAGAUGUGGAGGAACCCCCAGUGGCGAAAGCUGCUCUCUGGUCUGUAACUGACGCUGAGGCUCGAAAGCGUGGGGAGCAAACAGGAUUAGAUACCCUGGUAGUCCACGCCGUAAACGAUGAGUGCUAAGUGUUAGAGGGUUUCCGCCCUUCAGUGCUGCAGCAAACGCAUUAAGCACUCCGCCUGGGGAGUACGACCGCAAGGUUGAAACUCAAAGGAAUUGGGGGGGGCCCGCACAAGCGGUGGAGCAUGUGGUUUAAUUUGAAGCAACGGGAAGAACCUUACCAGGUCUUGACAUCCUUUGACCACUCUAGAGAUAGAGCUUUCCCUUCGGGGACAACAUGACAGGUGGGGCAUGGUCUCGUCAGCUCGUGUCGUGAGAUGUUGGGUUAAGUCCCGCAAGCAACCCAACCCCUAUUUUAGUUGCCAUCAUUUAGUUGGGCAAUUUAAUGAGACCGCCGGUGACAAACCGGAAGGAGGUGGGGAUGACGUCAAAUCAUCAUGCCCCUUAUGACCUGGGGUACACACGUGGUACAAUGGGAAGUACAAAGAGUCAGUAGACCGGGAGGUCAUGCAAAUUUCUUAAAGGUUCUUUUAGUUUGGGAUGCAGGCUGCAACUCGCCUGGAUGAAGCCGGAAUUUGUUGUUAUUGCGGAUCAACACUCCGGGGUUUAUGUUUUCCCGGGCCUUUACACUCCCCC
rnacentral:rRNA from 1 species